rnacentral:rRNA from 1 species
UACGUAGGGGUGCAAGCGUUAAUCGGAAUUACUGGGCGUAAAGCGUGCGCAGGCGGUUAUGUAAGACAGAUGUGAAAUGCCCGGGCUUAACCUGGGAACUGCAUUUGUGACUGCAUGGCUAGAGUUUGGCAGAGGGGGGGGUAGAAUUCCACGUGUAGCAGUGAAAUGCGUAGAUAUGUGGAGGAACACCGAUGGCGAAGGCAGCCCCCUGGGUCAAGACUGA